rnacentral:rRNA from 1 species
GGUGAGUAAUGCUUAGGAAUCUGCCCAGUAGUGGGGGACAACAGUCGGAAACGGCUGCUAAUACCGCAUACGCCCUACGGGGGAAAGCAGGGGAUCUUCGGACCUUGCGCUAUUGGAUGAGCCUAAGUCGGAUUAGCUAGUUGGUAGGGUAAAGGCCUACCAAGGCGACGAUCCGUAGCUGGUCUGAGAGGAUGAUCAGCCACAUCGGGACUGAGACACGGCCCGAACUCCUACGGGAGGCAGCAGUGGGGAAUAUUGGACAAUGGGGGCAACCCUGAUCCAGCCAUGCCGCGUGUGAAGAAGGCUUUCGGGUUGUAAAGCACUUUCAGCGAGGAGGAAGGCCUUAAAGUUAAUACCUUUAGGGAUUGACGUUACUCGCAGAAGAAGCACCGGCUAACUCCGUGCCAGCAGCCGCGGUAAUACGGAGGGUGCAAGCGUUAAUCGGAAUUACUGGGCGUAAAGCGCGCGUAGGUGGUUUGGUAAGCGAGAUGUGAAAGCCCCGGGCUUAACCUGGGAACGGCAUUUCGAACUGUCAGACUAGAGUGUGGUAGAGGGUAGUGGAAUUUCCUGUGUAGCGGUGAAUGCGUA